rnacentral:lncRNA from 1 species
AUGUCGUUCAGGUUAAGGCAGGAGCAAAAGGUUGGCAUUUUAUUCAUAGUAUUUAUGUUUGCUUCCGUCAGUAUUCCACUACGUCGCAAAGUGGUGGUUGAAUUCCAAAGUCAUUUUUCACAAAUACAAGAGAAGAUCCUAAACAGUGUCACAAGGUAGAAAAGUAUGCUUUCAUAAUUAAAAGUUCAAAUGCAUCUUGUCUCUAUUUCAAGAUCAUCUUCUGGAUAGUGAUUCUGUCAAAGUAUUUACAGACGUUCUGUUUUUGCCAUAUCGCUUGCUUCAUACUUCUUGCUAUCA